GCUGGGCGUGGUGGCUCAUGCCUGUAAUCCUAGCACUUUGGGAGGCCGAGGCAGGUGGAUCACCUGAGGUCAGGAGUUCAAGACCAGCCUGGCCAACAUGGUGAGACCCUGUCUCUA
rfam:Homo sapiens chromosome 13, GRCh38 reference primary assembly.